rnacentral:pre_miRNA from 1 species
UCAUGUAGCUAGCACUCGCGCUGUGACAUGUGUGUCAGUGUCACAUCACAGUCAGAGUUCUAGCUUCACGG